rnacentral:rRNA from 1 species
UACGUAGGUGGCAAGCGUUAUCCGGAUUUAUUGGGCGUAAAGGGAACGCAGGCGGUCUUUUAAGUCUGAUGUGAAAGCCUUCGGCUUAACCGGAGUAGUGCAUUGGAAACUGGGAGACUUGAGUGCAGAAGAGGAGAGUGGAAUUCCAUGUGUAGCGGUGAAAUGCGUAGAUAUAUGGAGGAACAUCGGUGGCGAAAGCGGCUCUCUGGCCUGUAACUGACACUGAGGCUCGAAAGCGUGGGGAGCAAACAGG